rnacentral:rRNA from 9 species
UUAAAUUGAAGAGUUUGAUCAUGGCUCAGAUUGAACGCUGGCGGCAGGCCUAACACAUGCAAGUCGAGCGG